GCACUGUUGAUGAGUCCCAAAAGGACGAAACAGCUGUCCAGUGC
rnacentral:hammerhead_ribozyme from 1 species